rnacentral:rRNA from 1 species
UACGGAGGGUGCGAGCGUUGUCCGGAAUCAUUGGGCGUAAAGGGCGCGUAGGUGGCCUGGUCAGCGUGCGGUGAAAGCUCGGGGCUCAACCCCGAGUCGGCCGUGCGAACUGCUGGGCUUGAGCACUGUAGAGGCAGGCGGAAUUCCGGGUGUAGCGGUGGAAUGCGUAGAGAUCCGGAAGAACACCGGUGGCGAAGGCGACCUGCUGGGCAGUAGCUGACACUGAGGCGCGACAGCGUGGGGAGCAAACAGG